UUUAAUUGAAAUGAACUUUGAAUGCUGCUAGGGUUUCAAUUAAUAGCUGCCGAACCCAUCAUUCGAUUUGAUGGACGACAGUGUACGAGCAGAGACCAGAUCUUGCCAAAGAAAGCCUCGCCCAUGGAGGUUCCGUAAGUUUACUUCUUUUUCUCUCCUUUUUUUAAAAAAAAAAAACUUAAGAUCCUAUGCUAUUCUGCCAAAAAAAAGUGAAAAUCGACGACAAAAAACCAAAGAAAACAACCCUCGCCCCGAAUCCUCAUAUUUCUGAAACAUAUAGGCUUUCAUCAAUGUUGUUUCAAGUAUUCUUUUCAUUUUCCAUGCUAAAAAAUUGCAAGCAAAUCGAAAGAAAAGGGGAAAAAAGAAAAAAGAAAAAAGAAAAAGGAUUUGAAAUCACCUUUCAAAGUUUUGAUUGCUUUUUUUUCUAUGUAUUCAGUAUGCGUAUCCGUAAAAAAAAGGGAAACCUUACAAUCGAAAAUCAAAAGGGCUUUAUAGCCGAAUAAUCAAAAGAAAAAAAUUCAAAAGCUUUCUAUUGGCUGCUGCUCUUGCUGCUGUUUUUGUUUUCUUUUGCGGGUACGGAGUGCAUGGCGCGUGUACCGGGGCCAUGUGCUGGCGUACGGAGGCAUGGGCGUGGCUGUGGUGCCAGGAGGCCGUAAGGUGCUGGAGGCUGGGGCUUGGCUGCGUCGUAAGAGGCAAAAACCCUAGGGUUUCGGUUUAAAAUAUUUUGGGCCAUUUGGGCCGAUGCAAUUUUUGUGCUAGGUUUAUUUUAUUUGGGCUUGUAUUGGGUUUGGGUUUAAUGGGCUGAACUGUUAAUGGGCUGUUUUAAUAUCUGGAUUUUUUUUGUUUAUUUAUUAUUUUGGUUUUGAUUUUCUGUUCUUGUAAAAAUAUUGUAAAUGAAAUAAAAUUAGAUAA
rnacentral:lncRNA from 1 species